GAAAUUGUGAGGCUGAUCAUUAAGGACAGUAAAUGGGUCUUCAAAUGUUCAAGGUCAGAGUCAAAUUAUUAGUCAGUUAUAGAAAUAACAUUGACUAUGGUCAAUGGUAGGAUUUGGUCCAAAACAGAGUCAAUAUAAAAGCACAGGAGAAAGUCACAUAAUCAGUCAUUAAUAAAAAUUGUCAGGAUACAGGAUAUGGGUCCUAGAAGAGUCAAGGUCAAUAUUAAGAUUGAGGUCAAAGUAAAAUUAUUAGUCAUAUAGAUAGUCAAGAAUAGGGUACAAAACUGAAACUAAUAAAGGUGAAAAACAAUGCCAGGUUGGGGGUGGAGCAGGAUGGUGGAGGAGUAAGAGAUUGCACUUAUUUUCUCCCACAAACACAUCAAAAAGACACAUCUACAUGUAAAAUUACUCACAUAGAACAUCAUCUGAAUGCUGGCAGAAGAACUUAAACCUCCAAAAAGGGCAAGAAACUCUUGACAUAACUGAGUAGAAUAAAAGAAAAAAAAAAGAGAGAGAGAGAAUAUGAAUCAGGAUUGGAAUAGCAUUCCUGAGAGGGAGCUGUGAAAGAGAAAAGGAAGGCACAUUCUGGGAAGCCACCUAACUGACAGAAAGAUCACCCAAGUACCUCAAAGUUGCAAAAAAAAAAAAAAAAAUGCAGCAGCUGGUCUGAGAACUGCAAAGCAGAGUGAGAACUGCACAGAUCAUCUGAACCACUGGCUGACACCACAGCCUAAGAUGCUUGGGGGGAGGCUGGGUGCUGAGACUUAGGCUCCAGAGGUCAGUCCCAGGGAGAGGACUGGGGUUGGUGGUGUGGAGACAGCCUAAGGAGCUAAGGAGCAGUGUGCCACAGGUGGGGGAAUGGUACACCACUGGCUGGGGAGGGGAAUGCCAUGGCAGAGGGAACCUGGGAGAAGGUCCCGACCUGCAGGAGAGGUAAGGGGCGGACCACCAGAUGAAACUCCUUGCACUGGAGAGUGAGCAUGCCUUUGGGCUUUCAGAGGGUGGGGCAGCUCUGGUGCAGGCUAUGGGUUGUGCAAAGCCUUUUCCUCCUUUAGGGGGGAGACUGGGUGAUUCUUGUGCAGGCUACCAGUGGCCAGGCACCUCUUGUGUGGGCUAAGGGCAACAGGGGGCUCAGUGUGAUGUGGUGCCUCUUGCAUGAUCUACAGGUGGCAGAGACGGGCUGUGGUGGUUGUCUCAGAGGCCAGAGGGAGGCAUGUUUUGCCACCACUGCGGGGGGGGGGUGUCUGUGAGUGAGCUCCACCUGUGACCCCAGUCACCUCAGGGGCUGGCAAAAAAGAAAAGAGGGCACUGCAAAUGAGCACCAUAAAUCGUUGCUCUCACUCCCCUGGGAACACACCUGCUCUGCAGCUGCCACUGCCAAAUGCUCUGGGCAGUGCCCAGACACUUGGUCACUGUCCCUUCCCAAGAUCUUACAGCUAGGAGCAGCUGGUAUAGCACCUCCUGCAUGUAAGUGGAACAGGGUGCUUCUUGCAUGGUCUGCAGGUGGUGGGGGCAAACAGCUGCAGUUAUCUCUGACUCCAGAGGUGGGCAUGGCCCACCGCCACCAGGGAUACCUGAACAAAAAUCACUUGCAGCCCCAGCCACCUCAGAGGACACCACAGAGAAGGACGUUGCAACAGAACACCACCUGUUGUUGCUCUCAUUCCCCUGGGAGCACACCUGCCCUGCUGCUGCCACUGCCAAACAGUCUGUGCAGUGCCUGGAUGCUUGAUCACUGUCCUUUCCCAGGAACCUACAACUUGGAGCAGCUUGUGCAGCUUCUCUUGUGGGGGCUAAACAGGAUGAGCUGCUUCUGGCAUGGUCUACAGGAGGCAGGGGUAAAUCAUUGCAGUUAUCUCUGGCUCCAGAGGUGGGAGUGGCUCACCACCACUAGGGGGUCUGUGAACAGACACCACUUGCAGUCCCAUUCACCUCAAGGGCACCAGAGAGGAGGGCAUUGUGACCAAACACCAACUGUUGAUGCUCUCACACCCUUGGGAACACACCCACCCUGCUGCUGCCACUGGGAAAUGCUCCAGGCAAUCCCCACAUGCCUGAUCUUUGUUACUUCCUAGGAUCCUGCAACUAGGAGCAGCCUGUGCAGCACCUCCUACGUGGGCUAAGUGAGAUGGGUUGCUUCAUGUAAGGUCUACAGGUGGUGGGGGCAAACCACCACAGCUAUCACUGAUUCAGAGGUGUUCAUUGCCUGCUACCACUAGGGGUCCCUGAACAGGCACUACCUGUGACUCCAAUCACCUCAGAGGAGGGCACUGCAAUAGAACACAAGCUGUUGCUGCUCUCAUUUCCCUGGGAACUCACGCAUCCUGUUGUUGCUACUGCCAAAUGCUCUGGUCACCUUAUAGAUCUGCCUAGACCUCAUUACCACUUCCGAAGACCCUGCAACUAGGAGUAGCCUGUGCCACCUUCCUACAGGUCUUUGCUGCUGUUGAGAGCCCAAUGAGCAGGCGCUGACUGCUGGCCCUACCCAUUGUCUCCUUCUCCCUGAAAACACACUGAGCAUCCUGGGGAUAACAGCCUACUCACUCCAAAGAAAAAGAUAGCAAAGCAAAUAUUCAAACUCCCACACUAAAAAUAAAGAGUAACCCACCCCAAGAAAAUACAAAGGGGUAUUCUUGCAUAGAAGUAGCCUUACAAGAUUACAGUUUGGCUUCCCCAAACUCAUAGAAAAAGAAAAACACAAGCAAGAUGAAGAAGCACAGAACCAUUCCUAGUUAAAGCAAUAGGAGAAUUCACCUAAAGCAGUCAACAAUGAAAAGCCCUCUGCAGUCUGACAGACAUUGAGUUCAAAAGGGAGAUAGUGAAAAUACUGAAGGAAUUGAGAAGACAUGAAGAGUAAUGCAGAUUCCUUUAGAAAGGAACUAGAAAAUAUAAUGAGGAGCCAAGAAAAACUAGAAAAUUCAUUUGCAGAGAUGCAAACUGAGCUAAAGGCAAUAAUGAGCAGAAUGAAUAAUGCAGAAGAAUGAGUUAGUGACAUGGAAGAUAGAAUAAUGGAAAUCACCCAAUCAGGACAGCAGACAGAAAACCAAAUGAAAGACCAUGAAAGCAGUGUAAGAGACCUAUGGGAUAAUAUAAAGUGGGCCAAUCUACACAUAAUAGGAAUUCCAGAAAGAGAAGAAAAAGAAAAGGGGAUUGGAAGUAUAUUUGAAGAAAUUAUGUCUGAAAACUUUCCAAAUCUAAAGGAUACUGAUAUCAAGAUACAGGAAGCACAGAGGGCCUCAAACAAAUUGAACCCAAACAGGCCCACACCAAGACAUAUUUUAAUCAAAAUGGCAAAAGUUAAAGAGAAGAUUCUAAAGGCAGCAAGAGCAAAGAAAAGCAUUAAUUGUAAGGGAACCUCAAUAAAGCUAUCAGCUGAUUUCUCCUCAGAAACACUACAGGCCAGAAGGGGUGCCAAGAUAUAUUUAAAGCUCUGAAAGGAAAAAAAUUGCAACACAGACCACUCUAUCCAGCAAGAAUAUCAUUUAAAAUAGAAGGGGAAAUGAAGAAUUUCUCCAACAAACAACAGAUAAAAGAGUACAACAAUAUGAAACCCAUUCUAAAAGAAAUACUGAAAGGGCUUCUCUAAAUUAAAAAAAAAAGUAAGAAGAAUUAGGAUGGAGGAAACCACAAUUGGGAAGCAAUAACUUAAAUAAACCAGCAUACAGAUCCAAACAUAAAGAUAUUAAAAAAAAAUCAAAAUCAUGCAAUGUAGGAAGGAAAGUAAGAAAAUAUAGAUUCUCUUUUUAUAUUAAUGAUGUGUUUGAGCCUAUAUGACUAUCAGGCUAAAGCAAGCAGACACAAGAAGGGGUUAAUAUACUUAAAAAACAGGGCAACAACAAAUCAAAGCCAAACAUUACAUUCACAAAAACUGAAAGGAAAAGUACUAAAGCAUAAAACAAAUGGAAAA
rnacentral:lncRNA from 1 species